rnacentral:rRNA from 1 species
UCCUACGGGAGGCAGCAGUGGGGAAUCUUGCACAAUGGGCGAAAGCCUGAUGCAGCAACGCCGCGUGCGGGAAGAAGGCCUUAGGGUUGUAAACCGCUUUCAGUAGGGAAGAAAAUGACGGUACCUACAGAAGAAGGUGCGGCCAACUACGUGCCAGCAGCCGCGGUAACACGUAGGCACCAAGCGUUAUCCGGAUUUAUUGGGCGUAAAGAGCUCGUAGGCGGUUCAGUCAGUCGGGUGUGAAAACUUGAGGCUUAACCUCAAGAGGUCACUCGAUACUACUGUGACUAGAGUGCGGUAGGGGAGCGGGGAAUUCCUGGUGUAGCGGUGAAAUGCGCAGAUAUCAGGAGGAACACCAGUGGCGAAGGCGCCGCUCUGGGCCGUAACUGACGCUGAGGAGCGAAAGCAUGGGUAGCAAACAGGAUUAGAUACCCUGGUAGUCCAUGCCGUAAACGUUGGGCACUAGGUGUGGGUCUCAACCAACGAGAUCCGCGCCGUCGCUAACGCAUUAAGUGCCCCGCCUGGGGAGUACGGUCGCAAGACUAAAACUCAAAGGAAUUGACGG